rnacentral:lncRNA from 1 species
AGAGAGAAACACAUAAAAGAGUGUUAGUGUAUUCUCCUAUUUUAUAGAGAGAAGUGUAGUGCCAUAUUACAAGAGAUGGUGUAAUUAUUCUUGUAUUUAGAGAGAAAUUAUAAUUUUCUUUCACUUAUUAAAAAUGUUUCCUUUGUCUUAUUUAUGAUUUUUUUCUCUAUAUUAUUUUUCGUUAAAAUAUUGUGCGUUAAUUUGUAUAUUUUUCACCUCUUAUUUUAGUUGCUAAUUAUUAAUUUUGUUACUUUGGUACCCAACAUUAGUGAGUCAGCGACUCCAAUUUUCUGGUUAUAAUAUAAUAUUAUAUAAAAAGGGCUUUGAUUCAUUGGGAAGACAUGGAGAUUAUUCAAGCUUCUAACGAGGGAAGACAGACGUCAAUGGGUUUGGUGUACGAGCAAUUUAUAUGGGCAUUUCUUGUUGGGUGCACGUUCAUUAGUGUAUUAUCUCAUCCUGAUGAAGGUAACGCUUUGUUCUAACUUCUGAAGUACUUAUUACUUUUCAUUUUCAAAAUUUUUAUGAAGUUCCAUAUUAUUACAAUUUUUUUAUUACUUUCUUCAAAGAAUUGAAAACAGAAAAAAUGAAAACAACUCGGAAGUUUCUUUUGUUUAGUUGAUGUGAUUAAUAGUUAGUCAGCUUUGGAACUCUUUCUCACAGCAUUCAUUUUCUUUGAUAUCUUCAUCCAAUGUGUCCAUGCAGCAGCUCCAAAGUA